GACGAACGCUGGCGGCGUGCCUAAUACAUGCAAGUCGAACGCAGUGGGGACGGGUGUGUAACAUGUGGGUAACCUCCCCAUCAGGGGGGAUAACAUUGGAAAACAAGUGCUAAACCGAAACUGAUGGAUGUACGUGCGGUGAAUUAGUUAGUUGGUGAGGUAACGCCUAACCAAGGCAACGAUGCAUAGCCGACCUGGUAGGGGGAUCGCCCAAACGGGGACUGAGACCGGGCCCAGAUCCCUCCGGAAGGCAGCAGUAGGGAAUUUUGGGAAAUGGACGAAAGUCUGACCGGGAAACGCCGCGUGAGUGAAGAAGGUUUCCGGAUCGUAAAACUCUGUUGUUAGGGAAGCGGUACCUAACCAGAAAGCCACGGCUAACUACGUGCCAGCAGCCGCGGUAAUUC
rnacentral:rRNA from 1 species